CAUUAUUGCUUCAACAAUUGAAAUCUUUUUCUGUAUACUUUCACUUUUAUCAAUGAUUAGAAAAGGGAUGUAUCUUACAAAACAAUUACAGUAGUUUUGGGAAUCUCUUAUGUGUGAGAAGGGAUUUUGAAUAAGGGAGAAGGGAUUUUGAAUUUGUGUGAAAAUGUAUCAGAGAUACAAUUCAAUUCAACGGCUGAGAUGUGUUGUUUUUAACCAUUGAGGGUUGAGAUGUGUUGUUUUCAACGGCCCCUUGAUGUGUUGUUUUCAAUUCCUGCCCAAAACAAUCCCCUCUCUCUCCUGUGUUCCACCCACUCCAAACAUUAUUUGCACACUUCUCUCUCUCUCUCUCUCUCUCUCUCUCCAACUUCUCAGGUCUCAAACUCUGUCCUCAGAGAUCUCUCUCUUCCUCUCCCUUCUCUCCACUGCCGCUCUGCUUCCACCAUCGCGUCGUCUCCACCGUCGCGUCGCCUCCGAUCUCCACCGACAGCAACUCUUCAUCUCUUCUCCCUAUUAGAUCUCAACCCACGACGGCACCUCUGUCCUCCAUCGCAGAGAAACCGAUAAAGAGUUGCGGUAUCGUUUCAUCUAUAAUCAUUUUAUGAGUUUGCACGAGGAGGAAAAACGGAUGUGGAGACUUCAAAACAGAUUAUUCACUGGUGCUGGUGCUGGUGCUGGUGUAAAGGAAUCUCAAGACUUCAAAACAGAAGUUUUGGAACGAGGAGUACCUGCAAAAAGGGAAAUUACUUUUGAGACAGAACUAUUUGGGUCAAAGACAUUUUUGAUAUAUGUUGAACCUGUAUUCAGCAACGCAGGGGAUACUAUUGGUGUGAAUUACAUGGGUAUGGAUGUAACUGAUCAGGCCAGACCACAACUUGCAAGAUGUAAGAAUCAAUAUCUUCCCUUUCAAAAGAAGAAAGGUGAAGGCACCAGAAGUUGCAGCUUCUGUUACAUUAUCUGUGAGAAGGAGAGAUCACUCUCAUCAUUGGUGGUCUGCACUCCCAGAGUAUCAACACAGACUGCCAUGACAGGAAGAAGGUCAAAAGCUAUUGCAAGAAAGGCAUCUUCUGUACGAAGUUCCAGUUUUCCCACUGAAAAGCCCGUUAAGAAAGAGGAAGAUUCUGUGGAAGAUCAUCCAGAGGGCUUAAGCUCACCCGAGACUUUAACUAAAUUAACUCAGAAUAUAAGAGGAAACAAUGCGAGCAAAACAAAUGCUGGCAACCAUGUCUCAUGAGAUAAGAUCUCCACUAUCAGGAGUUGUAAGCAUGGCUGAGAUUCUUUCCACCACAAACCUUGACAAGGAGCAAAGACAAUUAUUGAGUGUCAUGUUAUCUUCAGGAGAUUUAGUUCUUCAACUUAUAAAUGACAUUCUUGACCUUUCCAAAGUUGAAUCAGGAUGAUGAGUGACCAUAAGGUGGAGAAGUUCUCUGUAGAUUUUCAUGGACCCAAAAACAGCAAGGGUCUUGACAUUGGUUUGUGGGGGCUGUUGACAUUGGUUUGGAUCUCAACAUUUUCUUUUUUAUUUUUUUUUCUUCAACCCGCAUGUCUCUCAUGGGUCAUUAUUUUUGUUUCAUUUUAUUUUAUUUCUAUAACCCAAUUUAAAUUUUCACUCAUGAUUCAUGGACUAUUUCUUUAUCCCUGUUGAAGACAUGGUGAAGAAAUUGAAAAGAAACAGAGUAAGAAAAGAGAUAGUGGUCGGUUUUCUUAAUUGUGUUGCGCAUUCAAAUGCUUAGCCACUAUCACAUCUUUAUUUAUUUUAUGUGCUAUUCAAAUUGUGUUGAUAUAUUAUUA